GAAAUGCGAUAAGUAAUGUGAAUUGCAGAAUUCAGUGAAUCAUCGAAUCUUUGAACGCACAUUGCGCCCCUUGGUAUUCCGGGGGGCAUGCCUGUUCGAGCGUCAUUACAACCCUCAAGCUUUGCUUGGUAUUGGGCCUCGCUGCGAAAGCGGCGGGCCUUAAACUCAGUGGCGGUGCCAUCUGGCUCUAAGCGUAGUAAUAUCUCUCGCUAUAGGGUUCCGGUGGAUGCUUGCCAGCAACCCCAAAUUUUCUAUGGUUGACCUCGGAUCAGGUAGGGAUACCCGCUGAACUUAA
rnacentral:misc_RNA from 1 species